rnacentral:lncRNA from 1 species
AUUCAUAGGAAACACCUAAGGACUUUUAAACCUCAAAGAUGAGGGUGGGAACAACAGAGAAGAACCUAUUAUUGGGCCACCUAUCAAGCAAAAAGAAAAUACAGCAAUACAAGGUCUCCAGAUUUGCCACCCAUGCUGAGUGCCGUGGUGUGAUCAUGGCUUAUUUCAACCUCAACCUCCCCCACUCAAGCGAUCCUCCUGCCUCAGCCUCUGGAGUAGCUGGGACUACAGGCACGCACCACCACACCCAGCCAUAAUUUGCCUCUUGCUGUAACUAAAAGGUCACAAAAACAAAGAAUUCUAAAAAAUCUUCUUCU